UGCCCGGUCGUCUAACGGCUAAGACACCUGGUUUUGAGCCAGGGAAUGCAAGUUCGAUCCUUGCCCGGGUUG
rnacentral:tRNA from 1 species